GACGAACGCUGGCGGCGUGCUUAACACAUGCAAGUCGAACGAAGUGGCGAACGGGUGAGUAACGAGUAAUUAACCUGCCCUUCAGAGGGGGAAAACAGUUGGAAACGAAUGCUAAUACCGCAUACUGAAGGAGGGGAUUGCGUCUGAUUAGCUAGUUGGAUGGGUAACGGCCCACCAAGGCGAUGAUCAGUAGCCGGUCUGAGAGGAUGAACGGCCACAUGGGGAAUGUGACACGGCCCAGACUCCUACGGGAGGCAGCAGUGGGGAAUCUUCCGCAAUGGACGAAAGUCUGACGGGGCAACGCCGCGGGAGGUAUGACGGCCUUCGUGUUGUAAAGCUCUGUUAAUCGGGACGCGGUACCGGAAUAGAAAGCCACGGCUAACUACGUGCCAGCAGCCGCGGUAAUAC
rnacentral:rRNA from 1 species